rnacentral:lncRNA from 1 species
UAAAGGACAACCUAAAGACAUAUGGGGCUCUACUCUAAAAAGGUGACUAAGAAGCAGGUUAUGCGCAUCUCGGGGCUCUUUUCGCCCCCGGCCGUCUCUGUGGCACGUUCUGCGCCUCUCGGGGCUCUUUUCGCCUCCGGCCAUCUCUGUGUCUCUGUGGCACGCUCUGCGCCUCUCGGGGCUCUUUUCUCCCCUGGUGUCUCUGUGGCACGCUCUGCGCCUCUCGGGGCUCUUUUUGCCCCCGGCCGUCUCUGUGGCACGUUCUGCGCCUCUCGGGGCUCUUUUCGCCCCUGGUGUCUCUGUGUCUCUGAGGCACGUUCUGCGCCUCUCGGGGCUCUUUUCGCCCCUGGAUA